rnacentral:rRNA from 1 species
UACGUAGGGUUCAAGCGUUACUCGGAAUUACUGGGCGUAAAGCGUGCGCAGGCGGUUUUGUAAGUCUGUCGUGAAAUCCCCGGGCUUAACCUGGGAAUGGCGAUGGAGACUGCAAGGCUAGAGUUUGGCAGAGGGGGGUAGAAUUCCACGUGUAGCAGUGAAAUGCGUAGAGAUGUGGAGGAACACCGAUGGCGAAGGCAGCCCCCUGGGUCAAAACUGACGCUCAUGCACGAAAGCUAGGGGAGCAAACGGG